AUAAAGUGGAUAUAAGUAUAAAAGCUAAAAUAAGUGUAAGUACCAUAUUGGAUUUAGAGGUUGAUACUGUUUAAUCCAAAGUAAUAAUAUAAGUAAUAAGUAAUAGUGUUGUGUGGAACGAACUUGGCACCCAAAAGCAGGACACACGGACAGAGCUGAUCAAGGUCUGAACAGUUUUAUUGUGUGGAAAGAUCAGGAGAUCGCGGCGUGUCUGGCGAAGUGCGUUGUAGCACGGAGAGUUCGACCGGACUGGACGGAGGCUGGAGAGUGGUGCGUUGAGCGGAGACCAGGGAAGCGGGUUCUGGACUGGCUGGCGUGGUUGAAGGCUGGGCUGAUCGGGUGAAGACACGCUGAGACUGAGACUAGAGUCCGAUGGCCGUGGCACAGGGAAGUGAUCACCGGCAGCACAGAGGUCUACAACGCAGACAGACAAUGUUACCAUAAGUGCUGUUGCUCCUUCCUCCGCCUUCCUCCAACAGAGUAACACCACACCAGCUGGCCUGCAGCCUCCUCAUCUGUCAGCAAGUGAGCAGGUUUCCAUUCAAAGCCUUUUGUCUGCAUGGGAACUGCCCAGUCUUGCUGCUGUCACAUCUCAGCCUCACUGUCUCUGUGUGACAUGCAAAUGAUUUGUAGUAAAUGAGUUACUGUAUUCCUUGUGCCUGAUAAUUCAACAUUUCCUUAUAAAAUCAAACUUAACCAGACAAGCUGAAUUGGACAUUUUUGUGAUAGUUUGGAUGAAUAAUGUUGAAUCAAUAUUUAGACAUGAGAUGGAUACAUACAGUCGAGCUGAGAUGCAAGAGAGGUUAAUGGGAUUUGAAACUAUUGCAAUUGCUCAGUGCCUGGAGGAAUGAUUUUAAUUUGGUGUGGCGACAUGAUUCACUCAGGAACCAAUUUUCUUUCUAAAACAAAUGUGUUUCCAUCAGCAGGGUUCAUCGUGACAGCACAUAACCUCUUCAUCUGAAGUUGACAGGGUUUGUGUUGUAUUUAUGAUCCUCAAAAGAAGGCAACUUUAAGUCUAAAAAACUUCUACUUCAUACUAAAAUGCAGUAUUACUGAAAUAGUAGUGUUAACUCCAAACAACUGAUGUACAUAGGGGUGGAAUCAAAUUCAAAUGGAAAUGGAACAUAUCAAUACACCAGUUUCCCAACAAACUCUCUUGUGAGGGGAAUGCAUGUCCCCCCUCACUUUUCAUAAUCCUAUUUUUGUUUUAUUUGGAGCUAUUUAGCAGAGUUUCAGGAGCAGGACUGCACCUCAAUCACACCACUUCCGCCAUUCCCACAAAUAUCUAAACCAUCUCCUCUUCUUUCACUCUCGUAUUCUGCGCUACAACCGAGAUCAUGUAAAAUCACAAGCUAACGUUACUACUCCACCCUAUGAGCAACUUCAUUCAUCCACUCACCACAUCUUGAAUAUGGACUUUGUGUCACCAUCCCCAUUGGACGAUGAAUCAUUCAGACGAAAUCAGGAUGACCAUGUUCAAAGUUUCCAUCAACCCUUGCUAGCAGACUUCUCCGCCACCUCAGUGUCUGAGACCCUUCUUUCUGUAAUCCAAAAGCCGGCUACGAAGCAACGAAGUCCAGCAAGCCUCUACACAUUCUCCUCCUUGCCCACCUCCCUCAGCAGAAAAGGCAAAUCAAGGACAGUCCAUCGCCGACUCCAUCGGCUCUGAGGACAACUCUUUUUUUUCUUUUCUUUGUAGUUUAUAGGAUAUUAAUGCCUUACAAAAACCAUGACAUUGUGAACUGCAAUGAUGGUUCAGUUGUUCACUAAGAAAAAAAAAAAAAUAUUUAAUUAUUUUUGUUACAUCAGCAAAUAUAUUGAGAUUUUGUUAUGACACUGAAAUCGUAUUCUGAAAAAUUUCUUUAGGAGUUAAUCAUAUUGUAAGUGUCGACAGUCACACCUCACAAACGUAGUCACACUCACCUAGUGUUAUAGCUCGCACGUAGGUCAUGCUGUAGUUGCCAGUACUUCCUCAUAGAACGUAUCAUUCAGUGUCAUUCUCCAAGGGUGAGCCUUAUCUCACUUACUAGCAAUUGCUUUCCAUCGUCUGUGAAUAAACUAAUCGUUCCAUCUCCCUGGAUAUUCCAAGCCGUGCCGAACACCGUGUUUGGUUCAAACUUCUCGCCAAAUGGAACAGGAUAACCUUCAUCUAUGAUGUACAACUGACUCACCCACAUGACAUCCAUCUGUACACUGACCCUGCUCCUUCUGUCGGGUUUGGGUGUUUCUACAAUAGAAAAUGGUUUGAAGUAGAAUGUCCCCGGAGCUCGCAAGUGAAUGCCAGGUCGUUUCCUCUGCUCUCUUUGAAAUCUACCCCAUUAUAGCCGCAGCUAUUCUGUGGGGCCAUGAAUGGUCCUGCAAAGCCCAUUCUCAUAUACUUUGACAACCUCGCAGAUGUAGACCUAAUCGACAAAGUUAGCUCCAAUGCCCCAUCUAUCAUGCCGCCCAUGCAUGCCUAACAUGGCACUCCAUUAGCACACCUAUAUUUUCUCCACGCAUCUCAUGUUCCGGAUUCCAAUGCCAUCACUGACUCUUUCCUGUUUCCCAUUUCAGAAGUUCAGUGUCUGGGCCCCUGAGGGGGAUAUCUUCAAGAGUAUAUCACCCUCAACCGUCUCGUCUUACAUGGAAGCUUGGAAGACUUUCUGCUACCUUCACUAUAAAAGGAGGAGAGAGGAGAGACUAAAAAGGAGGAGAGACUAAGAACAUCUUCGCCUCCUUUUUCUCUCUAACAAACACAUGCAAACAAACACACUGUUUCUUCUCUCAUCCCCUGAUCUGGUUGAAUAACUGUGCUAUUUUUAUAUCUCAAUUAAUGAUUGUAUGGCCAUAGUGAUGUUUGAGUGUGUGAUAUUUUGUGUGUAAAACUUAAAUGAAAAGUUUCAAACAAAGGAAUUUUUGGUGCGAAAGCCUUCCCCCAUACCCAAAACUCCUCCUCCUUUGCAAGCAGACAAAACCAGUUUCACCAACAUAUCAUCUGGCCCUCAUCUUUGAGCUCAAUGUUUGCUUUUUUUACCUUUAAUUUUCUCAAUAUGUUUUCUUUUCCUCGCCUAAAGUCCAUUCACAAUCUAACCUUUUUCCAAGCGAGUUUUUUUAAUGCCUCAGUAUUAAACUGAAGAGUUAUGUCUUUUGACAUAUAUUUUUGUAACAUUAACACUAAACCUCACAAUUUUUAUAACUUUAAUUACUAUAUUUAAGUUACUGAAACCUAGUUGAGGAAGCUAGUGUAGCCAGAGAUAUUUAAUUCAACAAGUCACAGCAUCACAGACUCGACAGAAGCUGCCCUGAGCUGCUGGAUACCAGCCAUCUUUAAAAGCAGAGCCCUUCUGAAAGAAGCCUGGACAACAUCUGUGUUCUAACAGAACAAAGGUUAGAACCGAAGAAACUUUGAAUCCUGCAUAUCCCAGGGAACUGUGCCAGCAGCGACUUGGCCUGGACCUUUGCUGUCUGCCCUGAAACAAGACCACCAGACCGGCCAGGAGACCUCAUCAGCUUAGUGACCAUCUGCUUCAUGGAGUCACCUGAAAGUGGCCAGCAGGGCUACUAAAU